rnacentral:miRNA from 1 species
UAACGCCACGGGGCUGAGGCUG